UGUGGCUGAUGGGAUUUGUGAUGGGAUAUGGCUGAUGGGAUUGGGGGUUGGGUUCGUGAAUGGAGAUUGUAUAUAAGUUCUGUGUGUUUGUAAUAAAGAGAGUUCUGUUUUAACCUCAAA